rnacentral:tRNA from 1 species
GGGGGUAUGGCUCAAAUGGUGGCGAGCUUGUCUAGCAAGCACAAGGUCCUGGGUUCGAGCCCCAGUACUGCCU